CGGAACUACAUAGCGAGACCCUGUCUCAAAAAACAAAACAAAACAAAAAAUCGGAAAGAAAGAAAAGCUAUUGGUAUCAUAUUCUUCCCAAAAGUUGGAGCCACACUGAAUAUUUUCCUAGAAAAUCUGGCAUGUUUUAUUGAUGAUGCCUAAGCUUAUCCCUGUAAACACUUGAAGUGGGAAGAUGUCAAAAGAUAAAGAGAUAGUGAUGGAGAAGUCCUGAGCUUCAAGGAACUACAAAUUUCUUGGAAAAAAGGCAAAUUCAUUAAACAGAUACAAAACAACAUAGAAUAAUGAAGUAGAGUACUAAGGUGAAUGAACAUGAAAUAAGUUGAAUGUAGUUGUAUGCCACAAGGUGUUACACAAGAAUGAGAAAAAGAUCGUACUACGUUGGGCACCUAAAUAACCAAAGGUUUGUGAUUUAAUACAGACAACAAAUACAGAAAAGGCAGAAUAUACAGCAGACAACUAUGUUAUGCAGUUAGACACAGAGAAAAAAUUAAAAUACGAGUUUUUCAGCAGCACAGGGUAUAGAUUAUGAUAGGUACUGGUAAGUGGGAAUGCUUUCUUGCUCUUGGCAAGCUCUAUGGAAGGGGCAGGUAAUAAUCAGAGGGCAUUAAAUGGAGCUAGAGAUGAACUAAUUGCAAGGGGAACAAUUCUAAAGGGUGGCAUAUAGGAAAAGAUUGUUAGAGAGCCUACGCGCCAGGGACAGAAGGGAAGUGCCCUGCAGGCUGGAGGGGCCAGGCAGAAAGGUGCCCCUCCCCCACUCUGGCCCCUUCUGAAGAUACUGUUGCGUUUUUGAGAAGGAGAGGCACCCUGGAGUGGCUAGAUCGGGAAGGGAGGGAUCUCAGGCCCUUAUUUGCAUACCCAACAUUCACAGCAAGCUUCCAGAAGAUUCCCUGGUUUCAGCCUUCACCCUUAUUGAAUUAGGCCUGCAAGUUGUUACAAUAGUAGCACUUCCCAGGCAUUCUUCCUUUUAGUCUAGGUCUCCCUCCUGUGUACUAGUCUCUCUGUUCUGCAGCCCAGGCCCUGUUACAAUAAAGACUCCCUUUAGUGUUCCUGUAAACCUGUUUGUGAUUUAUU